rnacentral:snRNA from 1 species
AGCUAACCAGUCAUGUGACUAUUAUCUUAUCUUAUCUUAAUAGUUUAACCACUAUUAUGAGGGCACCGCCCUCAUUCUUUGGUUAUCAAAUUUUUGCCGCCCUUGAUCCCUGCGAGCUCUGCUUGCAACUCCAGGGACGUGAUGACCUUGCCACUGCAGUACCGGCUCGUGUCGUCGGGGGAUC